AAUUUCGUACUUUAUAUUAAAAGUUUUGGUUUGCAGCUAAAGAAAAGAAUGAAUUUCUCGAAGUUA
rnacentral:tRNA from 1 species